rnacentral:rRNA from 1 species
UACGUAGGGUGCAAGCGUUGUCCGGAAUUAUUGGGCGUAAAGAGCUCGUAGGCGGUCUGUUGCGUCGGCUGUGAAAACCCGGGGCUCAACUCCGGGCCUGCAGCCGAUACGGGCAGACUAGAGUUCGGCAGGGGAGACUGGAAUUCCUGGUGUAGCGGUGAAAUGCGCAGAUAUCAGGAGGAACACCAGUGGCGAAGGCGACUACCUGGCCUGUUCUUGACGCUGAGGCGCGAAAGCGUGGGGAGCGAACAGG